UGAAGUCACAACCUCAAUUGGGUCCCAAGCCAGAAUAAAACAAAAACCCAAGACAUGAGGGAAUAUAGCUUUUAAACUACUUGAGUCACCUUAGGGCCAUUGUGAGGUCAACAGGAUUAGUGAGGAAAGGGAUAUUUGCCAGAGAAGUGGCAGAAUGUGGGUGCUCCAGGCCCCUGACUCAGUUUUCUGUGGUUCAGAGAUUUCACCUUCCUAAGCUUUUCCCCUCUUCCCAUGUUCGCUCUCAGUUCAGUUUCCAAAUGUUACACAUGGAGUCUUCAGGUAUUUGAACUAUGUGAGGUCUUGAUUUUAUUUUCCAUAAUGAAAAAAAUGAACUGGACUAAUUGAGCGAAAAAUUCUUGCAUUUUUCAAGUAAGAACUGAAUUUGGAAACAUCCUACAUCAAAGCACCAGUGUUUAACAUAAUAUCUGGAACAUAGGAGAUAUUUAUUGAUUGACUGACUGAACAAUGGAAUGACCAAUCAUAAUUCCAAGGAACCAAUGAUGACACAAGCUAUCCACCUUUUCAAAGAAAGUUGAUGUGCUUAUGAUGCAGAAUGAGGAUUGCUAGCUCCAGUUUGGAAGACACCAUUCUAAACCACAGAGCUCCUUUAUUUCACUACCUGCCAAGCCAGAUCUUUGCAUCCAGGAAUCCCAGAUGGACUAAAUUGUGGCAAUC